GGAUGCGAUCAUAACAGCACUAAAGCACCGGAUCCCAUCAAAACUCCGUAGUUAAGCGUGCUUGGGCGAGAGUAGUACUAGGAUGGGUGACCUCCUGGGAAGUCCUCGUGUUGCAUUCC
rnacentral:rRNA from 1 species